GGGGAAUAUUGCACAAUGGGCGCAAGCCUGAUGCAGCGACGCCGCGUGAGGGAUGACGGCCUUCGGGUUGUAAACCUCUUUCAGUACAGACGAAGCGCAAGUGACGGUAUGUACAGAAGAAGCACCGGCCAACUACGUGCCAGCAGCCGCGGUAAUACGUAGGGUGCGAGCGUUGUCCGGAAUUACUGGGCGUAAAGAGCUCGUAGGUGGUUUGUCGCGUUGUUCGUGAAAACCUGAGGCUUAACCUCGGGCGUGCGGGCGAUACGGGCAGACUGGAGUACUGCAGGGGAGACUGGAAUUCCUGGUGUAGCGGUGGAAUGCGCAGAUAUCAGGAGGAACACCGGUGGCGAAGGCGGGUCUCUGGGCAGUAACUGACGCUGAGGAGCGAAAGCGUGGGGAGCGAAC
rnacentral:rRNA from 1 species